ensembl:lncRNA
GCUACAUCAGGGUAGGCUGCUACAUCAGGAAGGCUACAUCAGGAAGGCUGCUACAUCAGGUUGGCUGCUACAUCAGGGUAGGCUGCUACAUCAGGGUAGGCUGCUACAUCAGGGUAGGCUGCUACAUCAGGGUAGGCUGCUACAUUAGAGUAGGCUGCUACAUCAGGUAGGCUGCUACAUCAGGGUAGGCUGCUACAUUAGGUAGGCUGCUACAUCAGGGUAGGCUGCUACAUCAGGUAGUCUGCUACAUCAGGGUAGGCUGCUACAUCAGGUAGGCUGCUACAUCAGGGUAGGCUGCUACAUCAGGUAGGCUGCUACAUCAGGUAGGCUGCUACAUCAGGGUAGGCUGCUACUUAAUAUUCUGAAUGGAUUUGUUGUUAUUAGUAACAGUAGGAUGAUAAUGCGCAGCCACUGCAGCCUUAGUUAGCCUAGCUAGCUAACUAGCUUCUCUUCCAUGCUUGAUGCAGUCCAAGACAGGUACUACAUAAUCAUAUUUGAUGAUAAAUAACCUAGCUAAGGCAGCUAUUAGUCUACUAUUGCGUGAGUUGGCUUGGUAGGUUGCUGUCUCUCGUCUCUCCCUCCCUGCUCCCCGUGUCACCUAGCAGUUAAAGGCAUUGGGCCAGUAAACAAAAGGUUUGCUGGUUUGAAUCCCUGAGCUGUCAAGGUAAACAAAUAUGCCGUUCUGCCCUUGGGCAAGACAGUUAACCCCCCCCAACAACACCCACUCCCCAGGUGCCGAUGACAUGUAUGUCGGUAAAGCAGCCCCCCGCACCUCUCUGAUUCAGAGGGGUUGGGUUAAAAUGUGGAAGACAUUUCAGUUGAAUGCGGUUGUGCAACUGACUAGGUUCUCUUUCCCCUCUCUCCAUGUCGUUCACAUUACGGCCCCUCCUCGACCUGCUAGAGUGGCACCUUUCUCUCUUUUGAAAUAAUAAAUAACUUAUGCAUAUCGGGUCCGGGUGGGAAAGCCCCAGCUAAAUUUCGGAAACGGGUCCAACUUUUUUUGUACCCGUGAAGACCUCUAGGACAAGUACAUCAGGAUGAACGAACAACAAACCAACACCGAGGUAAUAUAGCGAUCAACUUCAAAACAACAUGAACAGGAGAACAUUGGUUUGGGUAAUAUUGCCGUAAUGUUGCGUCAGUCCUUCUAACUACAGCAGCUUGGUAUCAUGUAAGACAUAGGGACUGGGUUGCCUUAUCGUGACAUCAUCUGACUGUGCCACUAAGCAUUUUUCUGUGCAUCAAGGAGUUCACCGCAGUGGAAGCACUUUUUUUUUGUCAUGGCUGGAUGGCCUUGACUGUUGGAAGAAGUUACAGGUGCCUUAUUAUUGCAGACAGGAAAUGCUCAAAGUUUGAGUUUGGAACAAAGUUUGAGUUUGGAACAUGGCCAAAGUGUCUACGGGACGGUUCACAGACAGACACUGUUUUGUGUUCUAAUCAAGACACGGUGUUCUAAUCAAGACACGAUGUUCUAAUCAAGACACUGUUCUAAUCAAGACAAGGUGUUCUAAUCAAGACAAGGUGUUCUAAUCAAGACACGAUGUUCUAAUCAAGACACGGUGUUCUAAUCAAGACACUGUGUUCUAAUCAAGACAAG